GUUUCUCAUCAGAAUAGAACUUCUAAGGCACCUCCUAUCUCCCCUAAAAAACAACCCAUGAGCCUGCAAAGCAUCCUGAAGUUGGUGGGAGUCAGUUCGUUUCUAAUCUCAAAGUCGUUCGGAGCGUUCCUCCAAGAGAUUGUUCCUCCAAGCGGAACAUCUUGUGUGCUCAAUCUCUCCGAGCCGGUCAAUGUCAACUGUGUUUUGUACAGUAUCUAUAGGACGAUUACUAUAAUGUCAGAGUCCGUAAGUCGACGCGCGUGUGCGGCAAAUCUGCAGUGGGCGCAUCGGAACCUGCGAUGGCAGAAGAAAGGGCAGCAAACGCGUCCCGAAACGAGGUGCAUUGGAGUCAUCGCGUACCUCCAAGAGGAGUUCGUGAUGUAUGCGUUACGCGGCGAGUACGCAGCGCUUUUCACCAAAGUUGCCCUCCCGCCUCCAUCGCUGUCUAGUUUCAUUGAGAGAUUCGCAUUGUCAGCUCCGCCAAGAUGAAUUGGUGCAUCGUUUGUUAAACAGAUUAAUUUCAUUAUUCACGCCUUCCAGCGCCAUGGAGAACUUCCGUGACCCCUGACCGUAUUAUUAUCUCGGCUUCCUUGAUGAGUUAUUUAUCCCGGGAGUCAAGAGGGAACCCAAGUUCAUCGAGAAUGAAAUGAAAGCCAAGCCAUCCGGCUCAGCUACGACGAAGUAACCGGAGAAGCCUAUGGAAGUUAAAUCGAAGACACAAACCAUUGAGCUGAACAUAAAAUUGUGCUGCGGCAACUGUGUGCAGAACGUGAGAAAGGCUCUCGACGAUGUCAAAGGGGCGGAGAAGGUGGGUUGCGAACAGGGUUGCGAGAAGGUGGGUUGCGAACAAGGUGUAUGUAACGUGCAGCGCGCAGCCGGAAAUCAUUUGAAGAAACUGCAAAAGGUGGACAGGCGCGCCACUCUUGUGAAGAAGAAGCAACAAAACUGAAACCACAACCAUAGCCAUCAUCUUCCAUCACACUCUACACGGUCCCACACAAGUUCUCAAAGGCUUUUGGCUAUGUAGCCUUGGCAGCUAUCUUCCAACAUGCAACAGACCUCACUUGCCGACCGAAAACGAGCUCCGCUCAACCAUGCAGGGCUUCGUUUCGCAGGGGGGGGGACGGGGGGCAAGAGAAGAUCCGCCCGCUGUCAACUUGCCUCCCCAAGUCGUGGCGAUCUCCUGCACUUCUAAGGCCGCAUUCUCCUCCGAAAAAUACACCGUGUGAUAACUAAAACAGCGCAGACUCAUGAGAAGCUCUCCGGUGACGGCAGUUAAGCCUCACGACGCCUCACUGUACGGACAUCCUGUAUGCUAUAUCUCUAUAUAUUUAUGUUUAUAUAUAUAUAUAUAUAUAGGAAUAGCGAGUGAGAGAUAGAUGUAGAUACUCCGACACGCAUCAGCUGCGAUGGAUUCCUCCAGAGCGUGGAGACACCAGUGAGAAUGUCGACUGUGGAGCAUUGGAGCUGCUGCCGGGUGACGGAAGAUCGUCUUCAAUGACUCCACCGCCAAAUUCCGCGUCUAGAAUUGCUAUUUCCUGACGGUAUGAAACCCGCAAUCACACACCCUCAUGGCCGUUCCCCGCAUCGUCGCCACCCCCCCACAGUAGAAGAAGAGCCUGUGCUUCAGUUGACUCCAACUGUAUAGUGACAACGUUGACAGCUUUAUCAAAGAAGUUCUACCGAUAGGGAACAUGAAGGAAUUUAAGAGCUUGAGAGUUCCAACGGAAGAGACUCUCAUGAAUUACCAGCACAGUAGUUUAAUAAAAGCAAGAUUAAGAAUGCAAAUAUGAGGUAGGGGAUAACUUAACUUAAUGCUUAAUUGGAUAGAAUCGAUUACUUUUGAGGAAAAGAAGUAAUGUUAUCCUUAGUGUUAAUAAUUAAUAAAGAUAUUAUUAAGAAGAUAUAUUACAAAGAAAUGAGAAUGUAAUAGACUAAUAUAAAAGAAGAAAAGGAAGAAUAAAAUUUAGUGUAAAAAAUCAAUUUAUAGAAACAAGUAUAAAUAAGGUUAGAAAAGAUAGAAAAGUGUGAAAAG